GGAGGCUACUGGAGAGUGUGCAUCACCAAAACAAAAGAGUAAGUCUAAAGAAGAAAGCUUGGCAUCCUGAAGACAAGAUCUCACAAAGGAAUGCAAUGAAGGAAAGUCAGGAUGGCUACCAUGUCAAGUAUCAUACUCCAUAAUUGCAACAGAUGCACCAAUAAGACAUGCACUGCAGAAGGCUUUUUCAGAAAAAAAAUUACAGUAAAACCUUUGUUUGCGAGCAUAAUUGGUUCCAGAAACAUGCUUGUAAUCCAAAGUACUCAUAUAUCAAAGCGAAUUUCAAGAACCAUUGGCUCAGUUGUGAUCAUGUGACACUCAGUGUCACGUACUACUCAGAUUGCAAGAUAUCACUCAUUGAUCAAGUUAAAAUUUUUUAGAAAUGUUUGCUUGUCUUGUGGAACACUCACAGACCAAAUUACUCGCAAUCCAAGGUUUUACUGUAUUAUAACUUGUUUUGUAAAAAGAACUUUGUCCCUUCCUUAGGCAAAGCUCAAAAUUUUCUUACUAACAGAAAUGAUACAUAGUCUGUAGCAGUAGGGUGAAUAGCAUUUUCAUGUAAAUUUUAGCCUCUGUUUCAAAAGCGUGCUACUCUAAAAAUAAUAUUUUGAAUUUUCAUGUUAUUUUUCAUCUUCCAUACUGUUUUUGCUAUCAAGAUAUAGUUAUAUCCAGUGACAGCUCCAUAACAUAUUCCCAUAUAAUGCCUUUGGGUUUUUUUCUGAGUUAUGAUUGAAGGUCUUUCCUAUAAUUUGUUUAUAUUAAUAUUAUAUAAUCAAAUAAAUUUUGAUUUAAUUGCAAGUGA